AUGCCUGGGGAUCUGCCCAGUCGAGGGGGAUAACAGUUGGAAACGACUGCUAAUACCGCAUACGCCCUACGGGGGAAAGCAGGGGACCUUCGGGCCUUGCGCGAUUGGAUGAACCCAGGUGGGAUUAGCUAGUUGGUGAGGUAAUGGCUCACCAAGGCGACGAUCCCUAGCUGGUCUGAGAGGAUGAUCAGCCACACUGGAACUGAGACACGGUCCAGACUCCUACGGGAGGCAGCAGUGGGGAAUAUUGCACAAUGGGGGAAACCCUGAUGCAGCCAUGCCGCGUGUGUGAAGAAGGCCUUCNGGUUGUAAAGCACUUUCAGCGAGGAGGAAAGGUUGGUAGCKAAUAACUGCCAGCUGUGACGUUACUCGCA
rnacentral:rRNA from 1 species